UACGGAGGGUGCGAGCGUUGUCCGGAAUCACUGGGCGUAAAGGGCGCGUAGGCGGGAUGGCAAGUCGGUCGUGAAAGCCUUCGGCUCAACCGAAGAACGUCGGCCGAUACUGCCGUUCUUGAGGGAUGCAGAGGAGACUGGAAUUCCCGGUGUAGCGGUGAAAUGUGUAGAGAUCGGGAGGAACACCGGUGGCGAAGGCGGGUCUCUGGGCAUCUCCUGACGCUGAGGCGCGAAAGCGUGGGGAGCAAACGGG
rnacentral:rRNA from 1 species